rnacentral:rRNA from 1 species
GACGAACGCUGGCGGCGUGCUUAACACAUGCAAGUCGAACGAAGUGGCGAACGGGUGAGUAACGCGUAAUCAACCUGCCCUUCAGAGGGGGCCAACAGUUGUAAACGACUGCUAAUACCGCAUACUGAAGGAGGGGAUUGCGUCUGAUUAGCUAGUUGGAGGGGUAACGGCCCACCAAGGCGAUGAUCAGGAGCCGGUCUGGGAGGAAGAACGGCCACAUUGGGACUGGGACACGGCCCAGACUCCUACGGGAGGGAGCAGUGGGGAAUAGUCCGAAAUGGACGAAAGUGUGACGGAGCAACGCCGCGGGAGUGAGGACGGCCUUCGGGUUGUAAAGCUCUGUUAAUCGGGACGCGGUACCGGAAGAGAAAGCAACGGCUAACUACGUGCCAGCAGCCGCGGUAAUAC